GGGAAGUUAUCAAAAAAUUGAGGGAUGAGCUUGUAACUGCUAAUGAAGAAGUACAAAGGCGUAGCUUGAUUGAAGAUGGAAGUGAGUUAAAAGUGGUAAAAGAGAUGAUUAUGGAAAAUGUUCAGUCAGCUGGAAAACUCAAGAAAAUGUGGAUCAUUUUAAUUUGUUCAUGGUUAAUUUUUCUGUAUGUUUUAGUAAUAGUAGUGUAAAACAACAUUGGGGAAACUCUUUUUGUUUUGUUAUUUGUGUUGUGAGUUAAGAGUGGCAUAUGAGUGGAUGAUUGUAAUUCAUGUAUGGUUGUUGUGUUUAUGUCUUAAAGG
rnacentral:lncRNA from 1 species